GUAACACGUAUGCAACCUGCCCCAAACAGGGGGAUAGCCUCUCGAAAGAGAGAUUAAUACCCCAUAAUAAUGUUGUUAGGCAUCUAAUGAUAUUUAAAGCUGAGGCGGUUUGGGAUGGGCAUGCGGUUGAUUAGGUAGUUGGUGAGGUAACGGCUCACCAAGCCAACGAUCAAUAGGGGGUCUGAGAGGAUGUCCCCCCACACUGGUACUGAGACACGGACCAGACUCCUACGGGAGGCAGCAGUAGGGAAUAUUGGACAAUGGGGGCAACCCUGAUCCAGCCAUGCCGCGUGCAGGAAGACUGCCCUAUGGGUUGUAAACUGCUUUUGUACGGGAAGAAACCUCACUACGAGUAGUGAGUUGACAGUACCGUGAGAAUAAGGAUCGGCUAACUUCGUGCCAGCAGCCGCGGUAAUACGAAGGAUCCAAGCGUUGUCCGGAUUUACUGGGUUUAAAGGGUGCGUAGGCGGGCUAUUAAGUCAGUGGUGAAAGCCGAUCGCUUAACGAUCGAACUGCCAUUGAAACUGAUAGUCUUGAGUAUGUUUGAGGUUACUGGAAUAUAACAUGUAGCGGUGAAAUGCUUAGAUAUGUUAUAGAACACCAAUUGCGAAGGCAGGUAACUAAGUCAUAACUGACGCUGAGGCA
rnacentral:rRNA from 1 species